rnacentral:ncRNA from 1 species
UGUUCCCAGGGGAGCCUCGUUAGGAGGCUGAGAUCCCGCCGGCAGCGCUAUUUGAGCUCUGAAACGCGGAGACCCUUCGAACCUGAUCCGGGUUAUACCGGCGUAGGGAAAGGGAAAAUU